ACGUGACGCCGGGCCCCUCUGACGGCUGCCGCCGCCAUGUCGGAGUCACCGA
rfam:Azotobacter vinelandii DJ, complete genome.